GGUCACCUUGAAUCCUUCCUGGAAAAAAGCAGGCAAGAAAAACUGAAGAAAUAAUGUGUUCUCUGGAAAGAGUGAAGAUCAUUUCAAGGUACAUUUUUGAUUGAACAACUUAGCAGUUAACUACAGUUUAUUUGAAAAGCACAAGCAUUAUCAUUGUUUCAAAACAAGUACCAUGUAGACAAUCGCCUAACAGCGACCAACUUGAUUUUCUUCUUGAAUAAAUACUGUUUUCCCUGAAGUGGGUGGAUUGCAGGCUUAUGGAGAAGAGCAGGAUACAGUCUUAAAAAUGCUUUGAAAGAAACUUAUUCACCAGGGAGGGUGAAUAGACUCCCACAUAUAUUUGCUAAUAUAGAAGGAUUUUGAUGUUAGCUUUCAUUGAUUACUGAAUUAAGAAAUCAAUACUGUUGUUUUAUAAAAGGGACCACCGCAGACUGGCUUGUUGUACUUAAUAAGAGCAUUGGGAAAAUAAUUAUCCAGUUUCUUCAUCAAUGGUGAUACAGCUUAACCCAGCAAGUCAUUAAGAAUUCCCCUCCUUGCAGUUUUCCUAUCAGCAAACACUGCCUAUUGUACGAACUAACACAGCAGGGCAUAUCUCCUAUGCUGCCUUCCGGAAAAGUUUCUGUCCUUUAGUGGGAAGAUAAGAAAAGAAGAGGAAGCUGGAGAGAAAGCACUUCCUGAAGCAAUUCAGCAGAGAAAGGAAUCCAGGCUCAAAUGGGGAGAUUGCAAUGUCUAAACUGACCCAACCGCAAAAGGGAAGAUGCACAAAAUGCUGUCAUUCUCUAAAGUUCUCUCUCAACAGGCAAUUUGUAACGGAAAACCCUGAGCUCUGGUUUGGGACUAGAUGUUAUAAUCAGACAGCAGGAAUUUUUAAAAUUAUGUGACAGGUUCAUACUCAUUUAUUUCUUCCACCCUCUUUUUUCCCCUGGCUCAGUUCAAGAGAAGACAAUUUCCAGUACAUAUGCAGGAAGUCAAAAGUAGUUAAAAAUGGAUGGCAAUGCUACAGGCUGCACACUGUCACCAUGGUUACCACACACCAGGUGUAUGACCAGAAUCAGUCACUGGAGCAGGAGCAUGUCUGCUUUCCUGGACUGUCAGCUCUUUAGGAGUAGGUCCACAUGUGACUUAUCUUUAUAUGCCUGGUACAGUGUCAGCAAUAUUGGAGAUGAUCGAAAUUUUUCUAAAUAGAUGUAUGAAGAAACUUCCCAGAGAAUGAUUCUGAAGCUGAGAUCCUGGUCUUUCCUGAAUUUAGCAUCUUGUAUCAUACCAUACAAAUUGCAGAGGAAAUUCUCAAUAUAGCUUUGUUUAUGGAGAUAACAAGUUGUAAAAAAGGAUGGGCUCUACUCACCCUACUUUAAACUCUAACAGGUAUUUUUAGCACUAAACUGUGCCUUGACCUUCAGGGUUAAAGGAAUAUUCCAAACUAUAGGAAAGUCAGAAUUGAAAAUGGUCUAAUAUUUCAAUGAAUUCAUUUUAAAUUGUGUCUCUUAGUAAUUUUCGUUUAUCCUUAGAAUUAGAAAUGUAGUGUAUAUUAUAAAAUUUCUAUUCAAAUAGUCUAUGGAUUUGUAUAAAUAAAGGACAAGUUUUAUCUUUCUAGACAGAUUAUCUGCAGAUGGGCUAAAGUCUGGUGCAGUAUUUCUGGUGCUUUGACACUUUUGUGUUUACUUGCUAUUAUGAAACUGCCUUCCAAAUUUUUUAAUAAACUUCAUCAGCAUAAUCUUGCUUUGUGAUCUUUAAACAUGAUAUAAAAAUUAAUGGUUCAAAGACAAGUUUUUCCAAAGAGGAGAGAUGACAUUGAUCAGGCAACAUUUAUGUCCUAUAAGCAUGCUGAUAUAAAAUUAUUAUUAGAGUGCCCAAGAAUAAAAACUAGAACUUGACUAAACUGUU